rnacentral:lncRNA from 1 species
UAAAUGAAGUUUCUACUGGUCAUAAGCACAUGGCUAUGUAUGUUGCAUCACAUACUCAUAGCUCCACCAACCUGGCAAGAGGGAUGUACACAUCAGGAUUAUUUUAGGACAGCAGGACCCCCCACCUCCCUUUCUUCCUUCCUAAGCCUGGAGAUGAGCAGCCCCUGAAGCAUUUGGUUAAAUACAAGUGAACUUCUGCACUCAGAGUUCUGUUAGGAAGGAGACAGGAGAUAUUGUUACCGAGUGGAAGCUCAUAUUGGCUCACUGCGGUGGCCAAUAAAUCCAGAGAGGAGGUGUUGGGGCAAGGAAUAGCAGCUUUAUUCAGAAAGGCAGCAGACCCAUAAGAUAGUGGACUUCUGUCCCAAAGGGUGAUCUUACUGGUUAGAAUUCAGGCUGCUUUUAUACUAAAAGGGUGAGGCGGAAUGUGUGUUUGGGGUGGCUGGUUGCUGCCAACGUCUUGAUGCACAAAUCCUUGUUCGUGCAGCUGUCCAGGUAGGACUGGUCACAGUUUUUUAUUUUCUGUUCGGCAACUUUUUAUCUCUAUAUGAAGGGGAAAAAGUGUCAAAACAUGGAGAAGGAACUGUCAGGUAUAUUUCAGGCUCUAGGCAACAUUCUUUUUGUACAAAAGGUGGAGAGUUGGCAUGAUUAAGCACAGGCAGCAGUGCACAAGGAUUAGAGUUAAAGGACUGGAUCCAGUAUGGAGUCAGGUUUGCUCUUUGUUAUAAUAUGGCUACCAGACAGCAACUAACAGUGUCUAUCCUUACAGUUCUUAGCUUUUCCACCUCUUUUUCUGCUCCUCCUAGCGAAUUCCAUAGCCAUAUGGUUCUGAAUUUAGUAUAUGUGUGAUGAAGUGAGCAUUGAAUUUCCAUACGGAAAUAUUUUCUCUUCUGUAUGUAUACUCCGUGCUCUUUUAUGAUUUUAGACUUUCAUAUUUGUUCUUGCUUCUGCUUAUCAUUCUUCUGCCUUUCUCAUUGUAUGUCAUCAUCAUGAUUUAACCAGUGUCCUUUCACCCAUUUAUUCAUUCCAUCUACAGCUCACAAAUAUCCAAAUAUCCGUUAAAAGUCAGGCAUAUAGAAAUUAUGACAGCAAGUAUAGACACAGCCUAUGAUGGAAGAGAUGGAGACCUAAAGCAAGAAUUAAAACAGAGCAGGAGUUCCCGUCCUGGCGCAGUGGUUAACGAAUCCGACUAGGAACCAUGAGGUUGCGGGUUCGAUCCCUGGCCUUGCUCAGUGGGUUAACGAUCCGGCGUUGCCAUGAGCUGUGGUGUAGGUUGCAGACGCGGCUCGGAUCCUGAGUUGCUGUGGCUCUGGCGUAGGCUGGUGGCUGCAGCUCUGAUUCAACCCCUAGCCUGGGAACCUCCAUAUGCCGCGGGAGCGGCCCAAGAAAUAGCAAAAAAAAAAAGAAAAAGACAAAAAUAAAUAAAUAAGUAAAAACAGAGCAUAGUUAGUGCUUAUAAGAAGAUACGAAUCUGAGCUUCGAGUCACCAACCCCACCUGAGAUAGGAAGUUGAUCUUAUUGGAGGAGGUAAUGCUUAAGUGGUAUCUGAAGGAUGUCACUAAGGGAGGAGGGAAGAGUAGUCCUUCCAGUAUGUGCAGAGUUGUGAGAGAAUGUAAUUUCUUGAGGAACAUCAAAUGGAAAGCCCGGGCACCAUACAGUGGUUGCAGAGGAACUUCCUAACCUCCUCCAUGGGAUUUUAUAUCAGUCUGGGGAGGUUUGUUAUAUAUGAAAGCUUUAUAAGCUCACCAGACAAGUCAGUGAGUCAUUGUAUAUCAGUGAAAGAAGCAGGGGAUUAGAGUCUGACAGAUGUGGAUUUGAAUUCUGAUACUUCUUCACAUUAGCUGUGUGACUUUGGGUAAGAAAUUUCCCUCUUUUGAGUAUGUUUCUUAUCUGUAAGAUGGGGAUAAUUUUGUUUUAAUAUUAUGAGCAUCAAAAUAAGUUAGUACUUUCAAAACACCUGUAAGUGCCAGUAUCAUAAUGAGUUUUUAACAAAUAUUACUCCUCUUCCUUCACCCCUGGUAUUUAACUUCCUUCUUGAAAUUCUCUGCUCCUUUGGCUCUCUCCCAUUUCUCAGUUUUAACUUUAUAACUGCUUGUUUUGGCCGUGAACAUGAAUUUCUCUUCACUGAUGGAUCUUAUUUUCCGAAAAUACUGGUUAUCCCUAAGGAUUUGUCUUACCCUCUUCCAACUCAGUCUUUAUGCACAAGCAUCCUAAUUUAAGGCAAACUCUACUUCUUGAUAUGCUUUUAAAUUUCAGUGCCUUCAUCUAGGCCCAGACCUGUAUUUCAGCAGAUCUAUGGAUAACAAUAUAUUGUGUUUGUUAUCUAUUGCUGGGUAUGGAUUUACCCUAAAUUAAUGGUUCAAAGCAACAUUUUUAUUCCACAGUUUCUGUAGGCAUGAAUCUGGGUCUGGCUUACUUGGGCCACGCGUCCCAUGGCCUUUCACAAGAAGGCAAACAAAGUGUUAAAUGGGAUUGUAGUCUCAUGUCUCCAUAUACACUUACAUAGUUGGACCAUGUUUCCCACUGGUGAGUGGAGUGAAAGUCUCAAUUCUUUACCAGCUGUUGGGUAGGACGACCCACAACAUGGUAGCUGGUUUCCCUGAAAGCAAGUAGGAGAACGAGAGAAGCAAGAUGGAAUUCACUGUCCUUUGUAGUUUAAUAUCGGAAAUAAUGUCCUAUUACAUUGGCUACAUUUUAUUAGGAGUGAAUUGUUACAUCUGCCCACACUUGAGGGGAAUGGAUUACACAAGGAUGUGAAUACUAAGAGUCUUUUAAGAAACUACCUACCACACUUAAGACAUUCCUAUGAGGUAGAUAUUAUCCUUGUUUUACAGAUGAAAAAUAGAGACACUAAGAGUUUAAAUAUGAUACCAAUACUUACUCAUCAUUUGUGGAUCUGGCAAUUGAAACUUUAAGGCUGUUUUUUAUUUUGUAUUUAUUUUUAUUUUUGACAAAUAAAAAAUUGUAUAUAUUUAGGUAUACAGUAUAUUUUGAUAUAUAUAAUAAUUGUAAAAUUAUUUCCUCCGUGGAACUAAUAUAUCCAUCACCUCCCAAAUUUCCUUUUUUUUUUCUUUAUAGUGAGGACCCUAGAGAUCUUAGCAAAUUAAAAGUUUCUAAUACAUUGUUAUUGACUAUGAUAUACAUAAAGUCUUUAGAACUUACUUGUCUUAUAACUGAAAGUGAUCAAUAACUCUCCAUUUCCCUACAGCCUCUGGUAAACACUGUUCUACUCUGUUACUAUGAGUUUGACAUUUUUUUUUUUAUUCCACAAACAAGUGAGAUCAUGCAGUAUUUGUCAUUCUCUGUCUGGAUUAUUUCACUUAGCAUGAUGUCUUUCAAUUGCCUCUGGGUUGUGGCAAGUGGCAGAAUUUUCUUCGUAAUUGUGGCUCUAAAAUAUUCCAUUGUAUAUAAAUCUACCACAUUUUCUUGGUCCAUUUAUCUGUUGAUGGAUACUUAGGUUGUUUUCAUAUCUUGGCUGUUGUAAAUAAUGCUGCAAUGAAUUUGGGAAUGCAGAUUAUCUCUCCGAGAUACUGAUUUAGUUUCCUUCAGAUGUAUACCCAGAAAUAGGAUUGUUGGAUCAUAUGGUACUUCUAUUUGUAAUUUUUUGAGGAACCUCCAUACUUUUUUCCACAGUGACUGUACCAUUUACAUUCUUAACAACACUACACAAAGAUUCCCUUUGCUCCGCAAUCUCUUUAACACUUGUUAUGGUUUGACUUUUUGGUCAUAGCAGUUCUAACAAUUGUGAGGUGAUAAUUGCAUUGUGGCUUUGAUUUGCAUUUUCAUGGUGAUUUGUGAUAUUGAGUAUCUUUUCAUAUACCUAUUGGCCAUUUGUGUGUCUUUGAAAAAAAUGUCCAUUCAGGUUCUUUGCACAUUUUUUAAUUGAAAUAUUCUUUAGUUGUCUGUUGAAUUGUAUGACUUCUUUGUAUGUUUUGCAUAUUCUUAUGUCAGAUAUAUGGUUUGCAUAUAUUUUCUACCAUUCCACAGGCUGUCUGUAAAUUGCGUUGAUUGUUUCCUUCACUGUGCAGAUAAUUUUUUUGUUUCACAUUCGUUUAUUUUUGCUAGGGUUACCAGUGCUAUUGGUGUCAAUUCAAGAAAAAAAAGAAAGAAAGAAAAAAAAGGAAAUUGCAUGAUUACCACUUCUG